AUUUAUCCCUGCUAAAGUAUAUGAUUUUCUAGAAGCUACGGUAUCUCCAUCCAAGAAAGCUUUGCACUAAGAUCCAAGCAGAAUUUCAAAUACUUCAUCAAGAGAAGAUGAUGCAGUUUUAGUCACAGUUGAAUAAUGAUGAGGCACGUCAGAUAUCUGGUUACCAUGUACCCUUCCCAAGUCCAUUCUAUUCUCGUACCUUCUCAAUGGGAGAAUAGCAUGAUUGUAAGACUAAAGCAUACAGGGCUUUCAGACUCUGUGAAGAUCUCUUCUCUCUCUCUCCUGAUAAAAGUCUAUGCCAAUGAGCACUGA
rnacentral:lncRNA from 12 species